UACAUCUGCCCUGUUGAUACGGGAUUCAGAUUCUGGAGCUUCAGCAAAGUUUUUAAAGUGGAGGUGAUGGAAGAGACCAGCCAGGGCCGUGUUCAGAUGGGGUUAGGAAGCCAAUGAGGUGUGAUGCAAAAGGAAGAUGUGUAUGCUAUCAGGAUGGCAGGGACCCUGUCGUUAAACAAGAACCUACAGAUGGAGGAGACACGAGCACCAUAAUCUCACCCAUCAAACUUGUCCAAAAGGUGGUAUCUAAGAUCCCAUCGUGUCAUCAAAUAACAGAGGAAUCUGUGUUUU